UAGGUCCUGCUGUGGGGGAGAGAGUGUCUUCCAGAUACUCAUCAGGGGGAGAUGAGAAGAUGUAUCCACAUGUUAACAGCUUUCUUAUAAACUAUUAAUAGGGAUUUACUUACUCAUUUUUUUUUUCUCUUUAGUUGUGAGACAUGUACAUUUGAACCAUCCUGGGCAUAACCAUUCUUGAGGGGAGAAUUUAUCUUGAUAGUCUAAGAAAGGAAAAGUGAUGACAUUUACAAUUACUAAUGAAAGAGUUAGAAGAUCCCUGGAGGAAUAAUGAUAAAGGAAUAUUUUGAACAGGAAAGGGGCAUCUCUAUGACAUUACCAAUGAGCUAUGGUAAGUACUCUCCCACUUUCCAAAGGAAGGCUAGGCCACCCUACUCUGCCUCUUACGGAAAACUGGUCCUGUAAUGAGUACAGCCUAAAAUGUUUCCAGCUGUGACCAUGGACUAUGAGAUCAGACUAUAGGGACCAGAAGGUUCCAGAUGCUGUCAUGACGCCAACAUGAAUUCCCUGGGCAGACGACCCCACCAAUGUGUCUUGGAGCCCCACCUCUCCAGAUCCCUGCCCUACUAGGGAAAGAGAAAGACAGGCUGGGAGUAUGGAUCAAUGGGGAAGAGAUUACAGAAGCCAGACCUCCCACCUUCUGCAUGCCAUAGUGA